rnacentral:SRP_RNA from 1 species
GGGCAAGACUUAUACGACCAGCUCCUGCUGAACUCCCCCAGGGUCGGAAGGCAGCAAGGGUAAGCGGUUGUAGCGGUGCGAUAUAAGAAACUUGCCCAUU